UAAACAAACCGGCUCUGCCCGGCGGCCGGCAGCACGAUGUCCCAAUGCCCUCAAGAGCCUCCCUGAGCCUCCAGAAGGAGCGGCAGUGUUGGCACCCGCAGAAGCCCAGGAGGUCAUGUCUGCCUGCGCUGUCUAAUGCCACUGUCUGUGGUCAUUCGUUCCAGCAACAACAGGAAACCCAGGCCCAGGCAACCCAAGCUCAGUGAGAGGAUGGCUGGGGACAGGUUAAUACCCACAGGUAACUUCCUCCACAAAGAAAGCUGGAAAACGCAUGCACGCGCCAUCCUCAAACACACCAGCCACCGAGAAACACAAUAGGCACGUGCUGUGGUGUGGACGUGUCCCCAAGUUCACCAUCGGAAACCUGAUCCCCAACGCAACACUGCUGAGGUCGUGAGGGCUCCGUCCUCACCAAAGCGUUCUCGCUGUUAGCACAGGAGUGGCUCCUGAUAAAAGGGUCUGGACCCACAUGGAGUAGUCACCACCUGUGGCCAGCCAUGGUCCAUGGAGACACCCCCAGAACAAGCCACGGUCCACGGAGACACCCCAGAACCAGCCACGGGCCAUGGAGAUACCCCAGAACCAGCCAGGGUCCACGGAGACACCCCAGAACCUCCCUGGUGGGCAUUUUCCCAAAAGGAAGGUGGGCAGCUCCAGGAAGGAAGCUUUGGGACCAAAGGGGCCUCCACAAUCACCUUGCUAGCGCCUCCCCCUCCACCCCACUUCCAGCCCACAACCCCUCGUAGGAAACUGGCAGCCCCCACAGGAGGCUCGUUACCAUCUUGGGCUCCUUGAAGACCUGGCUGUCGAUCAUGUCCCAGGCUCCCUGGCCCAGCGCCAGCAGCCGGAGCAGCAGCAGGAGGUCGGGGCUGUCCUGUAGGGAGGACGGGCUCAGCGCCUCUCCCAGGCAGCUGUGUCCUGGCCAUGGAGCUCCUCUGACCCUACUCGUUACUCAGCAGGAUCUCUGGUGCCCAUGGCCAGGACCACACGACUGCGAUCACCAGCCCCACACACGGGGUGAAACGCAGUCUCACAGCGGGGAAGCACACGCCUCUACCUGGGCCACUGCAGUCCACAUCCCCGACCACCAGAGCAGCCAGCAGGGCGGCCACAGGGCCCCAACAGCUGCCUCCACCUGGCCGCUGCUGUCCACACCCUGACCACCCAGAGCAGCCAGCGGAGUGGCCGCAUGGCCCCGACAGCUGCUGGCCAAGCCCACACUCACCCUGGGCAGUGUCUCCUGGCCGACCAGCUCCUGCAGGUGCCUGACUGUGCUCAGUGCCAGCGUGUUGAUGGCGAAGGGGUCACACAGGAUCAUGGACAGGUCCCUGGAAGGAGGCCGCCCUGGCAUUAAUGCGACGCCUGUUGCCCCUCCCUUCAGCGGCACAGUCCUCAGGAGGGGUGGCCUAGGCUGAAUUCAGGACUGGCAGCGGGUGCCCAUCACAUGCUGGGUUUCUUACAAAAAGCUUAAGGAUGGCCGAGCGCGGCGGCUCAGCCUGUCAUCCCAGCACUUUGGCAG
rnacentral:lncRNA from 1 species